rnacentral:rRNA from 1 species
GAUGAACGCUAGCUACAGGCUUAACACAUGCAAGUCGAGGGACCGGCGUCCGGGUGCGUAACGCGUAUCCAACCUUCCCAUUACUGUGGGAUAACCUGCCGCAAGGCAGACUCAUACCGCCUAGUAAUGGAUGAGGAUGCGUCUGAUUAGCUUGUUGGCGGGGUAACGGCCCACCCAGGCGACGAUCAGUAGGGGUUCUGAAAGGAAGUUCCCCCACAUUGGAACUGAGACACGGUCCAAACGCCUACGGGAGGCAGCAGUGAGGAAUAUUGGUCAAUGGACGGAAGUCGGACCCAGCCAAGUAGGGUGCAGGAUGACGGCCUAUGGGUUGUAAACUGCUUUUGGAUGGGGAUAGGUACCAUAUGAAUAAGGACCGGCUAAUUCCGUGCCAGCAGCCGCGGUAAUUC